rnacentral:rRNA from 1 species
GGUAACUUUAUAGUUAAUAUAAUUAAAAAUUGUGAAAUAAAACAUUUUAGUAACAAAGAAGAAAUCAACCGAGAUUUUGUAAGUAGUGGCGAGCGAAAGCAAAUUUAGAGUAAAUUUUAAGUUUAAAAACAAAAAAGUUUUGAAAAACUUGCAAAAAAGGUAAAAGCCC